GAUGAACGCUGGCGGCGUGCCUAAUACAUGCAAGUCGAGCGAACAGAUGAGGAGCUUGCUCCUCUGACGUUAGCGGCGGACGGGUGAGUAACACGUGGAUAACCUACCUAUAAGACUGGGAUAACUUCGGGAAACCGGAGCUAAUACCGGAUAAUAUAUUGAACCGCAUGGUUCAAUAGUGAAAGACGGUUUUGCUGUCACUUAUAGAUGGAUCCGCGCCGCAUUAGCUAGUUGGUAAGGUAACGGCUUACCAAGGCAACGAUGCGUAGCCGACCUGAGAGGGUGAUCGGCCAGACUGGAACUGAGACACGGUCCAGACUCCUACGGGAGGUAGCAGUAGGGAAUCUUCCACAAUGGGCGAAAGCCUGACGGAGCAACGCCGCGUGAGUGAUGAAGGUCUUCGGAUCGUAAAACUCUGUUAUUAGGGAAGAACAAAUGUGUAAGUAACUAUGCACGUCUUGACGGUACCUAAUCAGAAAGCCACGGCUAACUACGUG
rnacentral:rRNA from 1 species